UACGUAGGGGGCAAGCGUUGUCCGGAAUCAUUGGGCGUAAAGAGCGUGUAGGCGGCCCGAUAAGUCCGCCGUGAAAGUCCAGGGCUCAACCCUGGAAUGCCGGUGGAAACUGUCGGGCUGGAGUCCGGAAGAGGCGAGUGGAAUUCCUGGUGUAGCGGUGAAAUGCGCAGAUAUCUGGAGGAACACCGGUGGCGAAGGCGGCAUUCUGGACCGACAUUGACGCUGAGGAGCGAAAGCCAGGGGAGCAAACGGG
rnacentral:rRNA from 1 species